rnacentral:rRNA from 1 species
UCACUCUCAACAACGGAUCUCUUGGCUCUCGUAUCGAUGAAGAACGUAGCAAAGUGCGAUAAGUAGUGUGAAUUGCAGAAUUCCGUGGAUCAUCGAAUUUUUGAACGCAAAUUGCACUCUUCGAUUUCGAAGAGUAUGCCUGUUUGAGGGUCGUUA